CCUACGGGUGGCAGCAGUGAGGAAUAUUGCACAAUGGGCGAAAGCCUGAUGCAGCAACGCCGCGUGAAGGAAGAAGGGUUUCGGCUCGUAAACUUCUAUUCACCGGGACGAAAGAAAUGACGGUACCCGAAUAAGAAGCCCCGGCUAACUACGUGCCAGCAGCCGAGGUAAUACGUAGGGGGAAAGCGUUAUCCGGAUUUUCUGGGUGUAAGGGGUGAGUAGGCGGCAUGGUAAGCCAGAUGUGAAACCAUUGGGCUUAACCCGAGGAUUGCAUUUGGAACAAUCAAGCUAGAGUGCAGGAGAGGAAAGCGGAAUUCCGAGUGUAGCGGUGAAAUGCGUAGAUAUUAGGAAGAACACCAGUGGCGAAGGCGGCUUUCUGGACUGAAACUGACGCUGAGGCACGAAAGCGUGGGGAGCGAACAGGAUUAGAUACCCGAGUAGUC
rnacentral:rRNA from 1 species